rnacentral:snRNA from 1 species
AGAUGAUCAGAGCGAAUGACAGGCACGAGGCCUGGGGCUACCAUUCUGCAGAGGGUUGAUUCAAAUGGGUUGACACCUGCUGGCUUAGGCAGGCAUCCCUUUCCUCCCUCACUGCUCCAUGUGAAUCUCUCCUGAAGCUGCGUGCCGGCUGGAAGAGGAGGAUCUUCUCUGAUAGAGGACAGAUGUUCUGUGGUCAAGUGUAUACCAUUC